UCGAGAAUUUUUGACAAUGGGGGAAACCCUGAUCGAGCGACGCCGCGUGGAGGAUGAAGGUCUUCGGGUUGUAAACUCCUGUCAUUUGGGAACAAGGCUCCACGUAUUAACUGUACGUGAGUUGAUAGUACCAGAAGAGGAAGGGACGGCUAACUCUGUGCCAGCAGCCGCGGUAAUACAGAGGUCCCAAGCGUUGUUCGGAUUCAUUGGGCGUAAAGGGUGUGUAGGUGGCGCGCUAAGUCGGGUGUGAAAUUUCGGAGCUUAACUCCGAAACUGCAUUCGAUACUGGCGUGCUUGAGGACUGGAGAGGAGACUGGAAUUUACGGUGUAGCAGUGAAAUGCGUAGAUAUCGUAAGGAAGACCAGUGGCGAAGGCGGGUCUCUGGACAGUUCCUGACACUGAGACACGAAGGCCAGGGGAGCAAACGGGAUUAGAUACCCCGGUAGUCC
rnacentral:rRNA from 1 species